rnacentral:rRNA from 1 species
GAUGAACGCUGGCGGCGUGCUUAACACAUGCAAGUCGAACGAAGCACCCUAUUUUAUUUCCUUCGGGCCUGAUUCUUUUGUGACUGAGUGGCGUACGGGUCAGUAACGCGUGGUUAACCUGCCUUGUACAGGGGGAUAACAGUUCGAAACGGCUGCUCAUACCGCAUAAGCGCACAGCAUCACUUGCUUCAGUGUGAAAAAUUCCGGUGGGAUAAGAUGGACCCGCGUUGGAUUAGCUUGUGGGUGAGGUAACGGCCCACCAAUGCGACGAUCCAUAGCCGACCUGAUAGGGUGACCGGCCACAGUGGGACUGAGACACGGCCCAAACUCCUACGGGAGGCAGCAGUGGGGAAUAUUGCACAAUGGGCGAAAGCCUGAUGCAGCGACGCCGCGUGAGCGAAGAAGUAUGGCGGUAUGUAAAGCUCUAUCAGCAGGGAAGAUAAUGACGUUACCUGACGAAGAAGCACCGGCUAAAUACGUG